rfam:Vigna angularis cultivar Jingnong 6 scaffold182_159, whole genome shotgun sequence.
UCCUAAGUAGCUCAGUGGUAGAGCGGUCGGUUGUUAACUGACUGGUCGUAGGUUCGAAUCCUACUUGGGGAG